rnacentral:rRNA from 1 species
GGCUCAGGACGAACGCUGGCGGCGUGCUUAACACAUGCAAGUCGAACGGAAAGGCCUCAGCUUGCUGGGGUACUCGAGUGGCGAACGGGUGAGUAACACGUGGGUGAUCUGCCUUGUACUUCGGGAUAAGCCUGGGAAACUGGGUCUAAUACUGGAUAGGACCAUGCUUUAGUGUGUCAUGGUGGAAAGUUUUUUCGGUACAAGAUGAGCCCGCGGCCUAUCAGCUUGUUGGUGGGGUAAUGGCCUACCAAGGCGUCGACGGGUAGCCGGCCUGAGAGGGUGGACGGCCACAUUGGGACUGAGAUACGGCCCAGACUCCUACGGGAGGCAGCAGUGGGGAAUAUUGCACAAUGGGCGGAAGCCUGAUGCAGCGACGCCGCGUGGGGGAUGACGGCCUUCGGGUUGUAAACCUCUUUCGACAGGGACGAAGCUUUUGUGACGGUACCUGUAUAAGAAGCACCGGCUAACUACGUGCCAGCAGCCGCGGUAAUACGUAGGGUGCGAGCGUUGUCCGGAAUUACUGGGCGUAAAGAGCUCGUAGGUGGUUUGUCGCGUCGUCUGUGAAAUACCGGGGCUUAACUCCGGAGCUGCAGGCGAUACGGGCAUAACUUGAGUGCUGUAGGGGAGACUGGAAUUCCUGGUGUAGCGGUGGAAUGCGCAGAUAUCAGGAGGAACACCGAUGGCGAAGGCAGGUCUCUGGGCAGUAACUGACGCUGAGGAGCGAAAGCAUGGGGAGCGAACAGGAUUAGAUACCCUGGUAGUCCAUGCCGUAAACGGUGGGCGCUAGGUGUAGGGGUCUUCCACGACUUCUGUGCCGUAGCUAACGCAUUAAGCGCCCCGCCUGGGGAGUACGGCCGCAAGGCUAAAACUCAAAGGAAUUGACGGGGGCCCGCACAAGCGGCGGAGCAUGUGGAUUAAUUCGAUGCAACGCGAAGAACCUUACCUGGGCUUGACAUAUACAGGUUUGCUGCAGAAAUGUAGUGUCCCUUUGUGGUCUGUUUACAGGUGGUGCAUGGUUGUCGUCAGCUCGUGUCGUGAGAUGUUGGGUUAAGUCCCGCAACGAGCGCAACCCUUGUCUUAUGUUGCCAGCACGUGAUGGUGGGGACUCAUGAGAGACUGCCGGGGUUAACUCGGAGGAAGGUGGGGAUGACGUCAAAUCAUCAUGCCCCUUAUGCCCAGGGCUUCACACAUGCUACAAUGGUCGGUACAACGCGCAGCCAGCCCGUGAGGGUGAGCGAAUCGCUGAAAGCCGGCCUCAGUUCGGAUUGGGGUCUGCAACUCGACCCCAUGAAGUCGGAGUCGCUAGUAAUCGCAGAUCAGCAACGCUGCGGUGAAUACGUUCCCGGGCCUUGUACACACCGCCCGUCACGUCAUGAAAGUUGGUAACACCCGAAGCCAGUGGCCUAACCCUUGUGGGGGGGAGCUGUCGAAGGUGGGAUCGGCGAUUGGGACGAAGUCGUAAC